UAUUGGUAUGCCACACGCCUGUCCAGGU
rnacentral:sRNA from 1 species